rnacentral:rRNA from 1 species
CCUACGGGAGGCAGCAGUGAGGAAUAUUGGUCAAUGGGCGGAAGCCUGAACCAGCCAAGUAGCGUGCGGGAUGAAGGCCCUACGGGUCGUAAACCGCUUUUGCACGGGGAUAACACCCUCCACUUGUGGAGGUCUGCAGGUACCGUGCGAAUAAGGGCCGGCUAAUUCCGUGCCAGCAGCCGCGGUAAUCCGGAAGGCCCGAGCGUUAUCCGGAUUCAUUGGGCUUAAAGGGAGCGUAGGCGGGCGUUCAAGUCAGCUGUAAAAUCGCGCGGCUCAACCGCGCCCCGCAGUUGAAACUGGACGGCUUGAGUACACGACAGGCAGGCGGAAUUCGUGGUGGAGCGGUGAAAUGCAUAGAGAUCACGAGGAACGCCGAGUGCGAAGGCAGCCUGCCGGGGUGCGACUGACGCUGAGGCUCGAAGGUGCGGGUAUCAAACAGGAUUAGAUACCCCUGUAGUC